rnacentral:snRNA from 1 species
AUACUUACCUGGCAGGGGAGAUACCAUGAUCAUGAAGGUGGUUUUCCCAAGGCGAGGCUUAUCCAUUGCACUCCGAAGUGCUGACCCCUGCGAUUUCCCCAAAUAUGGCAAACUCAACUGCAUAAUUUGUGGUAGUGGGGGACUGCGUUCAUGCUUUCCCCUG